rnacentral:rRNA from 1 species
CCUACGGGGGACAGCAGUGAGGAAUAUUGGUCAAUGGGCGGAAGCCUGAACCAGCCAAGUAGCGUGAAGGAUGACGGUCCUAUGGGUUGUAAACCGCUUUUGCCGGGGAGUAACAAGCGGUACGUGUACCGCAUCGCGAGUACCCGGAGAAAAAGGAUCGGCUAACUCCGUGCCAGCAGCCGCGGUAAUACGGAGGAUGCGGGCGUUAUCCGGAUUUAUUGGGUUUAAAGGGUGCGCAGGCGGCGGGUUAAGUGUGCGGUGAAAUUUCCGGGCUCAACCCCGGCCAGGCAGUGGAAACUGGCUUGCUAGAGUGCGCGAGAAGCAUGCGGAAUUCGUGGUGUAGCGGUGAAAUGCUUAGAUAUGACGAAGAACCCCGAUUGCGAAGGCAGCUUGCCGGAGCCCAACUGACGCUGAGGCACGAAAGCGUGGGUAUCGAACAGGAUUAGAUACCCUUGUAGUC